GACGAACGCUGGCGGCGUGCUUAACACAUGCAAGUCGAACGGAAAGGCCCUGCUCUUGUGGGGUGCUCGAGUGGCGAACGGGUGAGUAACACGUGAGUAACCUGCCCUUGACUUUGGGAUAACUUCAGGAAACUCGGGCUAAUAUCGGGUAUGAGCUCCUGCUGCAUGGUGGGGGUUGGAAAGUUUCGGCGGUUGGGGAUGGACUCGCGGUUUAUCAGCUUGUUGGUGGGGUAGUGGCUUACCAAGGCUUUGACGGGUAGCCGGCCUGAGAGGGUGACCGGCCACAUUGGGAUUGAGAUAGCGCCCAGACUCAUACGGGAGGCAGCAGUGGGGGAUAUUGCAAAAUGGGCGGAAGCCGGAUGGAGCAACGCCGCGUGCGGGAUGACGGCCGUCGGGUUGUAAACCGCUUUCGCCUGUGACGAAGCGUGAGUGACGGUAAUGGGUAAAGAAGCACCGGCUAACUACGUG
rnacentral:rRNA from 1 species